UCGCUCUUGACAUCCUGCGAACUUGGUAGAGAUACCUUGGUGCCUUCGGGAGCGCAGUGACAGGUGCUGCAUGGCCGUCGUCAGCUCGUGUCGUGAGAUGUUGGGUUAAGUCCCGUAACGAGCGCAACCCUUGUCCUUAGUUGCCAGCGGUCCGGCCGGGAACUCUAGGGAGACUGCCGGUGACAAACCGGAGGAAGGUGGGGAUGACGUCAGGUCAUCAUGGCCCUUACGGCCAGGGCUACACACGUGCUACAAUGGGGCGCACAGAGGGCAGCAAGCGCGCGAGUGCAAGCGAAUCCCUUAAAACGCCUCGUAGUCCGGAUCGGAGUCUGCAACUCGACUCCGUGAAGUCGGAAUCGCUAGUAAUCGCAGAUCAAAAUGCUGCGGUGAAUACGUUCCCGGGUCUUGUAACACACCGGA
rnacentral:rRNA from 1 species